AUGUCACCAAAGGGGACAGGACCCGGAGGGGGUCCCCGAGUUGUGGGGACCCCAAUAACCCGCCCUGUCACCCCAAAACAGCCUCAGAGCCCCCCCAAAGCGCAAUGGGGUUUGUCACUUGUCCCCAAAACCCCACAGCCCCCCCCCGUGUCACCCCAAAUUAUAGGGGACAGGGCUGGUGGCAUGUCCCCAAAUCAAAGGGACCCCAAAUGUCACCCCAGGGGACCCCAAAUGUCACCUUGGGGGUGUCCCCAAGGCCAGGGGACCCCAAAUGGCACCCCAGGGGACCCUAAAUGUCACCCUAAGGCACAGGACAUCACCUAGAGGGUGCCCCCAAACUUAGGGGACCCCAAAACCACCCGAGAGACAAGAACAGGGGGGUCCCAAACUUUGGGGACACCCCAAUCUCUGCCACAAGGUCCCUAAAAUGUCCCCAAACCCUAAAAGACCCCCCCACGGUGCCUAGAGGUAGCACCCCCGACCCUAUUUUGCCACAAAUCAGCCCCAAAACCACCCCCGAACCCCGUUUUUUUGGGAAAAAAACAGCGGGGGCAGAGCCCUGACCCUAUAAACGACCCCAAAAAGGGGGACGCUCACCUCCCGAGGGUCCCGGCGGCUGCCCCUGGAGGUUCCCCAGCAGAUGUUUGAUUUUCUCCGAAUAAUCCGGCUGCUUCAACAGCUCCUCCGUCUUGUGGUUAUUAGGACCACCCUAUAGGAUCGGGAAGAAAAAAAACCCUAAAUCAACACGGAACCGUUUAAAAACCCCCCAAAACCCCUUUUCCAACGCCGCCGCCGCCGCCCCCUCCCCCUUUUUUUGGUUUGGGUUUUUUUUUGGGGUGUCGUUACCAUGAUGGAGGUGAGGAUCUCCUGCAUGUUGAUGGGGGCGGGGGGCGCCGGGCCCUGCGGGGUCUUGCCCGCCCCCAUACUCCCCAUCAGGUUGGCCAGCACCGGGGGGAGCUUGGAGCCCCCCGGGGCAUCCGGGGCCGGCGAGGAGGAGGCUCCGGGCGAGGGUCCGUCGGGGUAGGAGGCCUCCUCGGCGGAGCAGUCCUGGGGAGGGCAGAGAUUUGGGGGGGUUUUAGGGGGUUUUGGGUUUUUUUUUUUGGUUUGGGGGUUUUUUUUUUUAGGGGGGGGGGGCCCUGUUUUGGCGGCGCGGCGGGGAGCGGUGGGGGUCGGGGGGGCUUACCUCGUCCAGAGGGAUCAGCUUGGGGGGCAGCGGUUCGUAGGGUUCCAGGUCGGGUUCGUGGGGGCUGUCCGGGACCCUAUAAAGGGGGGGAAAAGGGGCGUUAGAUUCCCCAGUGGAUCACUUCGGUGGAUCCCAAGUAGC
rnacentral:lncRNA from 1 species